rnacentral:rRNA from 1 species
UACGUAGGUGGCAAGCGUUGUCCGGAUUUACUGGGUGUAAAGGGCGCGUAGGCGGGAAUGCAAGUCAGAUGUGAAAUCCAUGGGCUCAACCCAUGAACUGCAUUUGAAACUGUGUUCCUUGAGUGAUGGAGAGGCAGGCGGAAUUCCUAGUGUAGCGGUGAAAUGCGUAGAUAUUAGGAGGAACACCAGUGGCGAAGGCGGCCUGCUGGACAUCAACUGACGCUGAGGCGCGAAAGCGCGGGGAGCAAACAGGAUUAGAUACCCUGGUAGUCCGCGCCGUAAACGAUGAAUACUAGGUGUGGGGGGACUGACCCCUUCCGUGCCGGAGCAAACGCAAUAAGUAUUCCACCUGGGGACUACGGUCGCAAGACUAAA